rnacentral:rRNA from 1 species
CUUGGGAAAGUUGCCAUUCCCGAACUACUGGUUCAAGCUAAGAGGUGGUGGGGAAGGAGGGAUGGGUAGGAAUUCCCACGGUUGUAGCCGGUGAAAUUGCGGUAGAGAUUCUGGGAGGGAAAUACCGGAUGGCGAAAGGCCGGCCCAUCCUGGGCCUCACCACUGACGGCUGAGGGUGCGGAAAAGCAUGGGGGAGCAAAACAGGAUUUAGAUACCCUGGUAGUACAUGCCCGUAAACGAUGUCUACUAGCCGUUGGGGCCCUUUGAGGCUUUAGUGGCGCAGCUAACGCGAUAAGUAGACCGCCUGGGGAGUACGGUCGCAAGACUAAAACUCAAAUGAAAUUGACGGGGGCCCGCACAAGCGGUGGAGCAUGUGGUUUAAUUUCGAUGCAACGCGAAGAACCUUACCUGGCCUUGACAUAGUAAGAACUUUCCAGAGAUGGAUUGGUGCCUUCGGGAACUUACAUACAGGUGCUGCAUGGCUGUCGUCAGCUCGUGUCGUGAGAUGUUGGGUUAAGUCCCGCAACGAGCGCAACCCUUUUCCUUAUUUGCCAGCGAGUAAUGUCGGGAACUUUAAGGAUACUGCCAGUGACAAACUGGAGGAAGGCGGGGACGACGUCAAGUCAUCAUGGCCCUUACGGCCAGGGCUAUACACGUGGUACAAUGGUCGGUACAAAGGGUUGCUACCAAGCGA